CCCAGACUCCUACGGGAGGCAGCAGUGGGGAAUAUUGCACAAUGGGGGAAACCCUGAUGCAGCGACGCCGCGUGAGCGAGGAAGUAUUUCGGUAUGUAAAGCUCUGUCAGCAGGGAAGAAGAAUGACGGUACCUGAAGAAGAAGCACCGGCUAAAUACGUGCCAGCAGCCGCGGUAAUACGUAUGGUGCAAGCGUUAUCCGGAUUUACUGGGUGUAAAGGGAGCGCAGGCGGUUCUGCAAGUCUGAUGUGAAAGCCCGGGGCUCAACCGCGGGACUGCAUUGGAAACUGCGGGACUGGAGUGUCGGAGGGGUAAGCGGAAUUCCUGGUGUAGCGGUGAAAUGCGUAGAUAUCAGGAGGAACACCGGUGGCGAAGGCGGCUUACUGGACGAUGACUGACGCUGAGGCUCGAAAGCGUGGGGAGCAAACAGGAUUAGAUACCCUGGUA
rnacentral:rRNA from 1 species